rnacentral:rRNA from 1 species
GUCCAGACUCCUACGGGAGGCAGCAGUGGGGAAUAUUGCACAAUGGGGGAAACCCUGAUGCAGCGACGCCGCGUGAAGGAAGAAGUAUUUCGGUAUGUAAACUUCUAUCAGCAGGGAAGAAAAUGACGGUACCUGACUAAGAAGCCCCGGCUAACUACGUGCCAGCAGCCGCGGUAAUACGUAGGGGGCAAGCGUUAUCCGGAUUUACUGGGUGUAAAGGGAGCGUAGACGGCAUGGCAAGUCAGAUGUGAAAGCCCGGGGCUCAACCCCGGGACUGCAUUUGAAACUGUCAGGCUGGAGUGCAGGAGAGGUAAGUGGAAUUCCUAGUGUAGCGGUGAAAUGCGUAGAUAUUAGGAGGAACACCAGUGGCGAAGGCGGCUUACUGGACUGUAACUGACGUUGAGGCUCGAAAGCGUGGGGAGCACACAGGAUUAGAUACCCCGGUAC